UGUUAGCCUCUCAGUCAGAUCAGACCAAACUGAAGCUUAAAGCUAACUGUUAGCCUCUCAGGUAGAUAAUAUGAUCAGCAGCUUCCAGACAUUUGGAAUCGAUUCUCAUCUCAGAGGUGCUGAGGAAAGUUUUCACACCCCUGCAGAUUUAUUCAGUUGCUACUUUUUUGUCACAUUUAAAUGUUUAAGAUCAAAAAAUGUUGAUAUGAAACAAAAAUCUGUAAAGAGGGAAAAAAAAUCCCUGUAUGCUGCGUGGAGUUCAUCUGUAAAGUACUGAUCAAUCUAAAACUAGUUGUGAGAGAAAUUAAUCGAUUGUAAAGCUGAGGAGUUUCAGGUCAGCGGUGAAAGAAGCGAGUUCGGUUAACCAGACGGAGAUCUUCCUCUCACUUUCACACACAAACCAUCACCUGAAAUCUGGGUCAGACGGAGGAGGAGGAGCAGCAGAAUGACGAAGAGGAGGCUCAGACAGCCUCUCUCUCUGCUGGUUCCAGUUUCUCUACUGGGACCAAACUGGUUGAAAUCUAAAACUUUACAGCUGAUUUUAGACUUUUUCUGCUGCAGGCUGAGGAACCCUGACUCAGGUUGUGUCUGAGAUGAAACCGACACUUUUAUGGAGUUUCAUAUAAAAAUAAAUGAAAUGUUAAAAAAAGGUUGUUCGUCUGUCGCUGCAGGAAAACUUCAUUCUGAACAUUUUCCAUAAACUCAAACUUUACUCCACAUGAAGGAAUAAUUAUUGCUCAUCUUUUUCUUUCUUCCAUAAAACACAAAAUCUUACCAAGUUUUUAACUAGUUUUUCCUGCAAAUAUCACAUUCCACUGAAAUAAGACAAAACUGACUCAUAAGUAACUUUUCAGGAGCAAAGUGGAGCUUGUUUUGUUUUUGUCCAGUAAUUCCUGGACGUUCUGGUUCCACUGACAGAUUUUAUAAUAAAACAUUUUUCAAUGCUAAAAGUGAAAAUCUGUCAGUUUUGUCAUCAAUAUUAAGCAACUGACUCAAAGCGAGUUCUUGUCUUUGCUGAAAAGUUGUUUUUCGGUUAAUUUAGUUUUAUUUUUAUUGCACUGAGAUGUGUGCAGCAGAAACUGUUUGGUUGUAUUUGGAUGUUUUCAGUGUUCAGGUCGGAGGUCGGAGGAUCCGCUGGAUCUUUGUUUUCAGAUUUAAGGUGCUCGCUCAUUCAGUCCCACAGCACCAUGCUGCCUCUGCCGUGCCUCCCAGUGGAGUUGGGUUCUUCAGUAGACGUUCCUCUGGGCUCCAGCUGAACUCCUUCCUGUGUCAUGGAGACUCGAUGACCUCACUUCCUUUCUGCAGUGCAGAUGCAGAGGGAGUUGAUUACAGACUCAGAGGGAUCAGACCAUCGUAAACUGGAGAAACCACAAGACAAAACAAACUGGGAGAGCUGGGAGACUGAAACCAGUAAACUGUCAGAGUAAAUCUGCGCUUCUUCUUCCUUAAAGUUUUCUGGUUUGUGUGUCAGAACAUUUCUGUUUGUUGAGUUGAUGUUUUGAAGCUGAAGUGAUGAAAUGAUUUUCUCCUCUGAUCUGAUUCUAAACUUUGACUCGUUUCUCUUCACCUGCUCACUUCCUGCGGCUUUGCUGCUCGCAUAAAGCUGACUCACUUCCUGUCGCUGCGCUUCACAAACCGCUGCGUUUGUAGUGCAUGUGCUGCAGGCUGAGUGUGUGUGUGUGUGUGUGUGAGUGUGUGUGUUUCAGCUGGGAGAUGAAUAUCUGGGUUUCAUCCAUCUGAUCCAUUCUCUGGUUUGCAAACUGCAGUGCGGCAGCUGAUUGGCUGCUGGUUUCCAUGGCGCUGGCUCUCAGUCCUGUCUUCAUCCACUGAACAAAAGAUUUUUAUAAAACAUAAAGUCUUGAAUACAAAUAUUUAAAUCCUAAUUAUCAUAAAAUAAGCAGAUUCAUUGAAAACUCAUCACAAAUAAAUAAUAACAAUAAGAUGGCUGCUGUUGUAAUUACUUUUUCACAAAGAGUUAAUUCAUCUUUAAUCAGGUUAACUUUUAUAUUAAUAUCUGUUUGUUGUUGUGGAACAUUUAAAUGUCAUUAAAAAGUAAAAACUUCCCCACUGCAUGUUUCUAUAUUUAUUCAUCUUCAGAUUUCUGCAUUCAGUUUCCCUGAAUGUCAGCAGAAAACUAAAACAAUAAACAUUUCAGAGAAGAAAUCAAACAUAAAAACACUUAAAGACAAAGUUUUUAAAAACCAGCAGAAAGAGAAGAAAUUAGAUUUUAUUUUUCUGUUUGGUGUUAAAGAGAAAAUCACAGUCGGGUCGAAUCGGGCCCGGCGGUUCCUGUUCUGAGAGAAACGUCACUUUUUAGAUAAAUAGCCCUUUUCAGAUCUAAUUAUUUCUAAUGAUUAGAAGUGAUUACAGCGACAAAGACGCCAUCGGGUGUGUGAAGUGGGUUUUAUUAAAGCCGCUAGAAAAACCUUCACCAGAAACUCAGAAAUUUUGAGAUUAAUUUCAGAAAUUUUUUAGAGAAAACAUGGAAUUUUUUUGCGUUAGAAAAGUCUUAAAUAUUUGACUUUACUCAGAAAACCUUUAUGUUUUUUCUAGAAAAUUUCUGUCCCGACUCGCCGUUGUAUCUUUGAGUUGCUCUCCCUUUAAAUCCGACUCGUCUUUCUCUCACAGAAGUUGCUUGUUUGUAGUUUCACAUCGGCCCUGAAAAUGAUGGGAAUCGCCAUGGCAACCAUCAGGGGGAGAACUUGCACCUUUUUGAAAAAUGUUGGGAUUCACCUGUCAACCCCUGAUCCUGCUGGAGUAAAGAAUCCCCCAGCAUGAUGCUGCCACCACCAGCAUCAUGGUGGCAUCAUCCUGACUUCCUGAUGUUAUCAUCCAAUAAAAACAAUGAAAGUGAAAUAAAAAAGUUAAAUGA